UACAGAGGGGGCAAGCGUUGUUCGGAAUUACUGGGCGUAAAGGGCGCGUAGGCGGCCUGUUAAGUCGAACGUGAAAUCCCCGGGCUCAACCCGGGAACUGCGUCCGAUACUGGCAGGCUUGAAUCCGGGAGAGGGAUGCGGAAUUCCAGGUGUAGCGGUGAAAUGCGUAGAUAUCUGGAGGAACACCGGUGGCGAAGGCGCAUCCUGGACCGGCAUUGACGCUGAGGCGCGAAAGCCAGGGGAGCGAAA
rnacentral:rRNA from 1 species